ensembl:lncRNA
UUUAUAAUCCGCCAACGAGGCCACAGGCAGUUAAAAAAUGUGGGCAUGUGUGUGUGCGCUGCGAGAAAGAAAAAUAAAUGUUCAUGUCCAGGGAGCUGACCUUCUUCUUAGAGGGAAGAGUGAUGGUGCGGGGGAAGGAGCUAUAACUGGAAAUGUUGCCCUUUAUCUUCUGUCAGCUCUCAGGACACUUGGCUGCUGCUGCUUCUCCGGCUGCUGCUGGGGUUUUUAUGACACGUGUCACCCACCUCGGGCAGGAGAAGGAAAUUCCCUACAAAAUAGCAAUGGUUUCGAAAAAAAGGAUCGCAACAAAAUAUUGAAUAAAUUCCCUUUUAAUUUAUUUGAUCAUUCCACAUUACGGGGCUAUGAAUUGCUCAAAUUUGAUAACAAGUACUCAAUUCAACUCAUUAUCAAGGCUUUAGGAAAGGCCCGGAGGCCUCCGGCUGUCUGCCCUCUUCUCCUCUGGUCCUGGUUUCCAUAGCUGUGGCUGCACAGGCUGAGAAAAGCUGCUCCCAGGAGCUGCAGAGGCUGAGCGGGGGAUGUAAUAUAUUCCCCUGAAGAGUUUUACACACUCCAGCUCUCGGCUGUAACUUCGGUUGGUUAGCACUUUCCCCAUCAACAUGGACGUGUAUAAUGUGAAGAUGUAAC